GAUUAAGUGACUAAGCGUAUACGGUGGAUGCCUUGGCAGUUAGAGGCGAUGAAGGACGUGUUAAUCUGCGAUAAGCUUUGGGGAGCUGAUAAAACGCGUUAUACCCAAAGAUUUCCGAAUGGGGAAACCCACCACUUGUUGGUAUCUUGCACUGAAUACAUAGGUGUAAGAGGCAAACGCGGGGAACUGAAACAUCUAAGUACCCGUAGGAAGAGAAAUCAAUUGAGAUUGCCUUAGUAGCGGCGAGCGAACGGGCAACAGCCGAUGGAUAUUGUGUUAGUGGAACAAGUUGGAAAGCUUGGCGAUACAGGGUGAUAGCCCCGUACAUGAAGACGCAAUGUUCACAUAUUAAGUAGGUCGGGACACGUGUUAUCUUGACUGAAGAUGGGGGGACCAUCCUCCAAGGCUAAAUACUCCUAACUGACCGAUAGUGAACCAGUACCGUGAGGGAAAGGCGAAAAGAACCCCUGUGAGGGGAGUGAAAUAGAACCUGAAACCGUAUACGUACAAGCAGUGGGAGCACCUUCGUGGUGUGACUGCGUACCUUUUGUAUAAUGGGUCAGCGACUUAUAUUUAGUAGCGAGGUUAACCGACUAGGGGAGCCGUAGCGAAAGCGAGUGUUAACUGCGCGUUUAGUUGCUAGGUAUAGACCCGAAACCCGGUGAUCUAGCCAUGGGCAGGUUGAAGGUUGAGUAACAUCAACUGGAGGACCGAACUCACUAAUGUUGAAAAAUUAGGAGAUGACUUGUGGCUGGGGGUGAAAGGCCAAUCAAACCGGGAGAUAGCUGGUUCUCCCCGAAAUCUAUUUAGGUAGAGCCUCGGACGAAUUCCAUUGGGGGUAGAGCACUGUUAAGGCUAGGGGGUCAUCCCGACUUACCAACCCUUUGCAAACUCCGAAUACCGAUGAGAACUAUCCGGGAGACACACGGCGGGUGCUAACGUCCGUCGUGGAGAGGGAAACAACCCAGACCGCCAGCUAAGGUCCCAAAAUAUUGCUAAGUGGGAAACGAUGUGGGAAGGCUAAGACAGCUAGGAGGUUGGCUUAGAAGCAGCCACCCUUUAAAGAAAGCGUAAUAGCUCACUAGUCGAGUCGGCCUGCGCGGAAGAUGUAACGGGGCUAAGCAAUAUACCGAAGCUGCGGCAGCGUACUUGUACGCUGGGUAGGGGAGCGUUGUGUAAGCUGUUGAAGGUGUGUUGAGAAGCAUGCUGGAGGUAUCACAAGUGCGAAUGCUGACAUGAGUAACGAUAAUGGGGGUGAAAAACCCCCACGCCGGAAGACCAAGGUUUCCUGUCCCAUGCUAAUCAGGGCAGGGUAAGUCGGCCCCUAAGGCGAGGCAGAAAUGCGUAGUCGAUGGGAAACGGGUUAAUAUUCCCGUACUUGUAUAAUCAGUGAUGGAGGGACGGAGAAGGCUAGGCCAUCGUGGCGUUGGUUGUCCACGUGAAAGUGCGUAGGGUUGAUUACUAGGAAAAUCCGGUAAUCUAUAUGCCUGAGACACGAGACGAGGCUCUACGGAGCUGAAGUGGUUGAUGCCCGGCUUCCAGGAAAAUCUUCUAAACUUAUGAUUAUAUGAACCGUACCCCAAACCGACACAGGUGGUCAGGUAGAGAAUACUAAGGCGCUUGAGAGAACUCGGGUGAAGGAACUCGGCAAAAUAGUACCGUAACUUCGGGAGAAGGUACGCCCCUGUCUGUGAUGGAACUUGCUUCCUAAGCGGAUGGGGGUCGCAGUGACCAGGUGGCUGGGACUGUUUAUUAAAAACACAGCACUGUGCAAAAUCGAAAGAUGACGUAUACGGUGUGACACCUGCCCGGUGCCGGAAGGUUAAUUGAUGGGGUUAGCGUAAGCGAAGCUCUUGAUCGAAGCCCCGGUAAACGGCGGCCGUAACUAUAACGGUCCUAAGGUAGCGAAAUUCCUUGUCGGGUAAGUUCCGACCUGCACGAAUGGUGUAACCAUGGCCACGCUGUCUCCACCCGAGACUCAGUGAAAUUGAACUUGCUGUGAAGAUGCAGUGUUCCCGCACCUAGACGGAAAGACCCCGUGAACCUUUACUACAGCUUGGCACUGAACAUUGAACCUACAUGUGUAGGAUAGGUGGGAGGCUAUGAAUCAUUGUCGCUAGAUGAUGUGGAGCCGUCCUUGAAAUACCACCCUUGUAUGUUUGAUGUUCUACAUAGGCCCCUUAUCGGGGUUGUGGACAGUGUCUGGUGGGUAGUUUGACUGGGGCGGUCUCCUCCCAAAUAGUAACGGAGGAGCACGAAGGUUAGCUAAUCACGGUCGGACAUCGUGAGGUUAGUGCAAUGGCAUAAGCUAGCUUAACUGCGAGACAGACACGUCGAGCAGGUACGAAAGUAGGUCAUAGUGAUCCGGUGGUUCUGAAUGGAAGGGCCAUCGCUCAACGGAUAAAAGGUACUCCGGGGAUAACAGGCUGAUACCGCCCAAGAGUUCAUAUCGACGGCGGUGUUUGGCACCUCGAUGUCGGCUCAUCACAUCCUGGGGCUGAAGUCGGUCCCAAGGGUAUGGCUGUUCGCCAUUUAAAGUGGUACGCGAGCUGGGUUUAGAACGUCGUGAGACAGUUCGGUCCCUAUCUGGUGUGGGCGUUGGAAGAUUGAUGGGAGCUGCUCCUAGUACGAGAGGACCGGAGUGGACGAACCGCUGGUGUUCGGGUUGUUUUGCCAAAGGCAUUGCCCGGUAGCUACGUUCGGAACGGAUAACCGCUGAAAGCAUCUAAGCGGGAAGCCGGCCCAAAGAUGAAUCUUCCCUAGACCUUUAAGGUCUCUAAAGGGUUGUUGUAGACGACGACGUUGAUAGGCAGGGUGUGGAAGCGUUGCAAGGCGUUAAGCUAACCUGUACUAAUUGCCCGUGCGGCUUAAUCAU
rnacentral:rRNA from 1 species